CACUCCUGUGCCCAAUUGCCACCAGUGUUUAAAGUUUGCAGAGCCUUCCCAAGUGUGCUCACUGGGGAUGAUUGCAUGGGUGUGGAACUCUUCUUCCCAGAUUUUAAGAUGGUCAUCAAGCUGAGCAUGGUGGCUCAAGUCUUUAUUCCCAACACGCGAGAGGCAGAGGCGGGAAGAUCUAUGAGGUCCAUGACAGCCUGGUCUACAGAGCAAGUUUCAGGACUACAUAUGGAAACCGUGUCUUGAAAACAAAAACAAAACUAGCCAAGUAACCAAAAACAUAAAGAACAUAAGGUUUCCAUAGUUCAAUGAAUCCUGAGAUUUUUAGUGAAUAUUAGGCAAUACAAAGCGACAUGACACGUGGUUCUUGCCACCAGGAGCACUCAAACUUGACCAAGGAAGAAGUAUGUGAUCAACAUGAUAGAAACAUCAUGGAAGCCGGGGCCAAGAUAAAGGUGAGGUCUGUUCUCUGUGAGGUCAGAGAAGACCACAAAGAAGCUUGUAGAAGGGACCUUGAGGGGUGGACAAGAGUCCUCUGAAGACAGAGUGACUGUGAGGAAAGCUCUGAGAGACAGGUGCUGUGACAAGGGAAGUGUGACACCAUAUGGUCACAGCCUUUCAUUGUAUGGGUAUGGCUGCUGCCUUUGGCUAGAUGAUAUUAACCCUUUUGACUUUUUGAGUUGACAGAGACGAUCAGAGCAAACACGGUUUAUAAACUUGAAAUUCCUGGAAGUUCCUUUAAGGCCCUUUCUUUGGGUGUUACCAAGUGUCUGGGGCAAUUAAUUGACCUUACAUGUUGCUGUGAGUAACCCUCCCAUAGGGAGUGUAAAUUUGAGCAUCUUUGCUGGUUAAAUUGAUAACGGGUGUGUGUUAGGGGGUGAUAAAAUGAAUCUUUGUGUCUCCCCACCCCAUGAUUCAUAGGUUGAAGUCCUAAGCAUCAAUGUAAUGGUAUUAGGCAAUGGGGCCUGUGGAAGGCAAUUAGGUCACACGGGUAAAGGCCUCGUGAACAGGAUUAAUGCUCUGAGUUGAGAGCCUUCAGGCAAUGUUCUCCCCUUCUUCCUUCUAAUAAGGAUACCACAGACCUGCAGUCUCUCUAGAGCAGCAGUCAUCAAGCUGUGGCCCUUCACAGGGAUCACGUACAUAUCAGAUAUUUACACUAGGACUCCUAACAGUAGCAAACUUACAGUUAUGAAGUAGCAACAAAAUAAUUUUAUGGUUGGAGGUCAGCACAACAUGAGGAACUGCAUUAAAGGGCCGCAGCAUUAGAAAGGCUGAGGACCACCGCUCUAGAACCAGGUAAACACACACCAGAACCCCACACAGACCACAUGCCCUGAUUUCAGACCUCUGGCUUCGAAAAGAUUGAAACGUAGUUUCUCAUACCAGCCAGUCUGUAGUAAUUUGCUAUCACAGACAGAACUGACAAGAUGGCAAGGGCUGUAAGGAAUUCAAAGAAGGGUUUGAGAAGGAACAAGUACAGAAUUGCAGGCAGAAGGAAAUGAUCCACCAGGGAGGUAAAACCAGUGCACGAUACUGCAGGCUCAGCCACAACCUACCUUAACUGAUGACCAGGGCCUCUUCUGCCAUCACAUCAUUUGAUAGGAUACCUGUGCGUCUAACCUCUGAAUCCACAAGCUCCAUCAUCUUUUUUCUCUUCCCUAUUUCUCAUCCUGUGGUCCCUAGAAUUUCCUCUGCUGGCCACUGAGGAACAGAGCAGAGAUACCCAUUCAGUCCAGCCUGUCUGCUUUCAGCCUCUUUUGCUCUAGGGCUCCCUUCUUAAAACAAUCCUCCACUGACUCCUUCACAUGCCUCUUUGUCCCAGUCAGUUCUAGCUGCAGUCACAAGCUGGCACAGACUGAGUGGCAUGAAAUUAUUGUUCCUGUGUCUCUUGGAACAAAACAAAAACGCAAGUAGAAGGUUCCGAAGGGGGUGCAUCUCAGCAUCUCCAGGCCCUCCGACCAACCCUGAGACCAUCUUCAGCAUCUCAGGCCCCAGAAGCCAUUAGCAAGCAGAAGCAUCCCAAUAAACCUGGUGAGGCUGCUGGGAAAUAGCCAACACAAUCACCGUUCUUGGAUCCGUGAUGUUACAUCCCUGUGCUGGAGAGCUUCUUGUAGACAUUGAUGUUUAAGAUUUGUUAGAAUAGUUACUCAACAAAUUGAUAGUCAGAGGAAGCCCUUGCAUCUUGUCUCCAAGUUCUAGCCUCUUACUGGAAUAGGAACUUUGGGAAGGAAAAUAUUAACUGGGUUCAGACUGUAACCCAAAGUCACGAGUCCACUCCUGGAUCAAUCACUGGCCAGGAAGUGUUAUACGGGUCCUACUCUUCUAACAAGAUGGCUUGAAGAGAAAGAAACACUGGAGAAUUCAGGACUAAGAAAUAUGGCUGUGGGACAGGUUGUUCAGAUAGGAUAUAAUGAAGUGUGUAGGUAUGGGACUUAGAUAUAGAGAGUCACAUGAGUCUACAAGACCAAAGUGGUUGUGAUUGUCAGAAUGAGUCUGCGAUGAGUUGUAAGAACCUCAGUUUCUAUCCGCUGUAGCUUAGGCAAAGUACCUUUAUUCUGGAUUUUCUUAAAGUGGCCACCAUGGGCUGGAGAGAUGGCAUAGUGGUUUAAAGCAUUGGUUGCUCUUGUAGAAGUCCCAGGUUUGAUUGUCAGCACCCACAUACUGGUUUAAAACAGUCUGUGACUUCAGUCCUAGGCAGAUUGGAUACUUUCUGGCCUCCAGAUAAGCAUGUGGUACGCAGACAUAACAUUCAGCUAAACACCUGGGCACAUAAAAUAAAAACAAUACAAUUCUUUAAACUUAAGUGAAGUGGCCACUCUGAAAGACCUCAUCAUCAAGUAGCUCUUCAUUUAAAUGGUGGGGACUUAGGAACUGCUCUCUCUUCAAGGCUAAGUGAUCCUUCCAGAGGUGUUAUCUGAAAAAGAAGCUCAUGAAGGAUGGGAACAGGUCAGGUAUCGCUAUAUGCCGACCACCAGAGGUCCUUCCACAUCUUAGGACACUUGCUCCAUGAAGCCGGAAUUGCGGUCCUUUUCAGAGUGUUCUGUGAAGGAGCAGGGCGUUUUUCCAGGUCCAGUAUCUGAAAAGGAGAAGCAGGAGUAGGGUCUACAAGGAUCGCUGCCACCUGUUCCCACGGCUCUUCCUCAUUUCCCUUGAGACUAGCCAGGCAUGCCUUCAAAGAAACAUCGCUCACACACAAAGGAUUUCCUCAAAAUGACAUUCACUUUAAUUGAUGGUUGACACUGGAGGAAGAUGUGUGGAGAGGGAAAAGAUUAUAGUUGGCCCUGUAAAUCGGAGAGUUCAGCAUCCAUGAAUCUAAACAACCACAGGCUGAAAAUAUUUGAAACAUGUAUUUGUAUAGAGAACGUGCAAAUAUUUUUCUUAUUAUUCCCUAAACAAUACUGCAUAACAGCCAUGUCUGUUGCAUUCACAGUGUAUUAGGUAUUUGAGAAAUGAUUUAAAGAAAUGACU
rnacentral:lncRNA from 1 species